rnacentral:lncRNA from 1 species
CAGGCUUUGGUUCGGGUUUGGGUUCUGGUUUAGGCAUCGGUUCAGGCUUGGGCUCGGGUUUUGGUUCAGGUUUAGGCAUGGGCUUAGGCAUGGGCUCAGGCUUUGGUUCUGGUUUAGGCAUUGGCUUAGGCUUGGGUUCGGGUUUUGGCUCUGGUUUGGGCAUUGGCUCAGGCUUGGGUUCUGGUUUAGGCAUGGGCUCAGGCUUUGGUUCCGGUUUAAUUGGCUCAGGCUUCGGUUCCGGCUUAGGCAUUGGCUCGGGCUUGGGCUCAGGUUUUGGCUCAGGUUUAGGCAUUGGCUCGGGUUUGGGCUCAGGUUUAGGCUCAGGUUUAGGCACUGGCUCAGGCUUAGGCUCGGGUUUAGGCUCAGGUUUAGGCACUGGCUUAGGCAUGGGCUCGGGUUUUGGUUCCGGUUUAGGCAUUGGCUCAGGUUUGGGCUCGGGUUUAGGCUCGGGUUUAGGCAUUGGCUUAGGCAUGGGCUCGGGUUUUGGUUCCGGUUUGGGCAUGGGCUCUGGUUUUGGCUCGGGUUUUGGCAUUGGCUUAGGCAUGGGCUCUGGUUUUGGUUCCGGUUUAGGCAUCGGCUCAGGUUUCGGCUCUGGUUUAGGCAUUGGUUUGGGCAUUGGUUCCGGCUUGGGCUCUGGCUUCGGCUCGGGCUUGG